CCGGGUGGCUAUGGCGAGGGUGAACCACCCGAUCCCAUCCCGAACUCGACCGUGAAACCCCUCAGCGCCAAUGGUACUGCGUCUUAAGACGUGGGAGAGUAGGUCGCCGCCCGGU
rnacentral:rRNA from 1 species